rnacentral:tRNA from 1 species
GGGGUUGUAGCCUAGUGGUCAAAGCGUCGGUCUCACAACUUGAAGGUCGGAGGUUCGAUUCUCGACCCACUUCG